GACGAACGCUGGCGGCGUGCUUAACACAUGCAAGUCGAGCGGCGCGGCGGACGGGGGAGUAACGCGUGAGUAACUGCCCCCCUCUCUGGGAUACCAGUUGAAAACGGCUGCUAAUACCGGAUAGUGGGGGAUGACUAGCGUCCUAUCAGCUUGUUGGUGGGGUAGUGGCCUACCAAGGCGACGACGGGUAGCCGGCCUGAGAGGGCGACCGGCCACAGUGGGCUAAGACUGGGCCCAAACCGCUACGGGAGGCAGCGUUGGGGAAUAUGGCAGAUUGGUGCAAACUCAGAGGCAGGAACGUCGGGUUCUGGAUGCAGGCCAAGGGGUUGGAAACCGGUUACGGGCAUGACGCGGUAGUCGCAGAAGAAGCACCGGCUAACUACGUGCCAGCAGCCGCGGUAAUAC
rnacentral:rRNA from 1 species